UUUUAUUUCUUUUUUUUUUUUACUUUAAGCCAGUAUGAGCUCUGAAAAAAAUGCACGGCAUUAUUAAAUGAUUUCUUUUUAACAAAGAAGUCAAUGCUUUUUAUAUUGAAAUGCUUCAUUUUUUUCGUCUUUUAUUUUUUUCUCCCCAGGGAAUACUUGCAGCUUUACAUACUGCUUUGAAUAGCUGAUCAGAGGAAAAAGAGGAAGUAAAAACACCUAAUGGCUACUCUGUUGCCCUGCUAACUAUCUGCUGCUGAUGCCUUGCUUGCUUGCAAAUCUGGGCCAAAAAAUAAUAAUGAAAAAAAUAAAGCAGCAAAUAAAAAGCAGGUAGCUCUUGGCAUGUGCAUGGAGGGUGGCUUUUGCAGGUGCCUCCAAGCCAGCAGCUAAGGAGCUUUUGCUACAGGUUUUGCAGCUGGGGCAGGAGGUACAGUUGGGAGGGGGGUAAUUCAAAGACCAGGGGAAGGGGAAAUGUAGUUUUCAUAUGGGAAAAUCCUUGUUUUGGCCAGAAAAAUAUCAAAAUUGUUCCAACAAAAUUGUCUUCCAGUAUCUAGAAUCAAUGAGCAGCUGCCAACACCUGUGACCUUCUCCAGCCCUGAACAAGGCCGACAGGGUCAGACUGCACCGGAGCUCCAGCACCAGACAACCAAGGAGGAUGUGACCCCAGCUGCUGGCUCUUCCCAGAAGCAGGACUCUGGAUACAGAUGUCCAUGUUGAAUGGCACAGACAGACCCACAGGUUGUGAUACUGCAGAGGCGAUGUGGUGAACGUCAGGCAUGUGAAGUCCUCAGGGCUACAUGAUCAGAGGGUGACCAGCCUUGCAAUGGAGGAACUUCUUCCAAGUCCACAGGUAGGUGGCCGGGUUUGAUGCCCACUAAUACUGCUCACACACUCCCCAACUACUGACACCAGAAACACCAAACCAGGAAUGUGCCAACAGACCUGGAGCACCUGGGCCAUUUGGUUUCACCAUCCUAAGCUACCCCAUUGUAAUAAUGAAUAUUACAAAGAGUUAAAAACACAAUCAUUUUUCUUCUAACUUAAGUGUUUAGGGUACUUUUAUGAAGAUGCAAAUAAUUAAGUAAUUUCUAAAGAAAAAUACGUGAUUAUCCAUAUUCAAACACUACAUUUUCAAGAGGCUUUUCUUUUUCCUUGGUACUGGAUCAGAAAUAAAAAGCUUGUAGUUGUUACGAAGGAGUCA
rnacentral:lncRNA from 1 species